GAUGAACGCUAGCGGCAGGCCUAAUACAUGCAAGUCGAACGGUGUCUUCGGACAUAGUGGCGCACGGGUGCGUAACACGUAUGCAACCUACCUUACAUUGGGGGAUAGCCUUUCGAAAGGGAGAUUAAUACCGCAUAAGACAGUAGCUGGGCAUCCAGCAGCUGUUAAAGAUUUAUCGAUGUAAGCUGGGCAUGCGUCCAAUUAGCUAGUUGGGGAGGUAACGGCUCACCAAGGCAAUGAUUGGUAGGGGAACUGAGAGGUCAAUUCCCCACACUGGGACUGAGAUACGGGCCAGACUCCGCCGGGAGGCAGCAGUAGGGAAUAUUGGGCAAUGGACGCAAGUCUGACCCAGCCAUGCCGCGUGCAGGAUGAAGGCGUUAUGCGUUGUAAACUGCUUUUAUACAGGAAGAAACGACUCUUGCGAGAGGCAUUGACGGUACUGUAUGAAUAAGCACCGGCUAACUCCGUGCCAGCAGCCGCCGUAAAAC
rnacentral:rRNA from 1 species